AAGAAGCAAAGUCACUUGCUUGAAAAACACAAGUUUUUGGAAAUGAAAACAAAAAAUGGCGAUAAAUUCAUGUAGACAAAUGUUCUGCUGCCACCUAGGUAUCAAUAAUGACUCUAACUUACAGUUGGAAUGGGGUGAGUGGAAUAUUUUGUUUCGUUCACGACGCAGCCAACAGCUGCUCGUCUCUAACCUGCGAUUAUCAGAAUCCGUGCCAUUUCCAUUAGUCCAUUGCAGGCCAAAUCAAGAGAUUCCAAGCUGGUCAUGUUCGGUAAGUACACCUGUGGUUAAAGAAAUGCCGGAUCAUCAAAACAAUCCACUUCAGGUGGAUUGUUUAGUUUUGCACCCCAAUCUAUUUUAGCAGCAAACAACAGGUAAGUGGUCAUCAUCAUAAUCAGGAACAUAAAUCGUCUAUAAGACAAUAUACUUGGUCUUUUCCCCCUAUAAAAUCUAUUAAAAAAUAAAUAAAUUUUUUUUAUACCGUGUCUGGUAUUUCGACACGUUUGUCCGGAUCACGAAUUUUCCUUUUCCGGCAGUAUGUGAACUGAUUAGACUGAUUUUACAAAAAGAAACUCGUGUUAUCAAACGAAAUAACUCCGGAACACCUUGUAAACCGGUUUAUAUUUCAAGGCGGUUGUAAACUGGUGCUAAUUCACACGUGUAUAACCAUUAGAAACAUUUAUCGCAUAGUAAUCGAGAUAUUGGCAUGAUUUCUCGCUUUCCAAGUCAGUGAAAACCACCAUCAAUAAAUGGCACCUGCCAAUAAUAGCUUUUGUGUGACUGAACAACAUAUGCCCAUGCAGGUGAUGUUUAAUAGCCAGUCAUGAAUAUUAAUACACCUGUCCAACAGUAGAAAUAAAGGCAAAAUUAAAAGGUUAAAGAGAUAAAUACUUGGGAGAUGAAGUUGUUUUGUAUUUGAACAGAAAAGGCCAGCUGCUUCAUCUGGCUUUCGUUAUCAAUAUAGCUAAAUACGGUUUUAAAGUGCAUUUUUUAUUUGGUCACUGACGCUGUAGGCUAAUAAGUAACGAGUUAUCUACGUAUGGGUUUUUUUUUCUGUAUCGAAAAAUCUAUAGGCUACACAUAAAACAAACACGGGAAAGUUGUUGGGUUCUGUGACUGCCCUACGUUUUGUUUUCAGGCCUGUAGGCAUGAAAAAGAAAAUGUUCACACUCGUUUUUUGUCCUAAAUUUUUCGUGUUAUCUAUUUGUUGUUCACUUUCUCAGUUAUUGUAUAUGUCGACCGCAAGAAACACAGCGUUUUAUAGCAUCCCUAGCCUAAAGUGACCUGUUGCAUUUCACCGAACGUCCUCACAGUUGGAGAAGGUAGGCUGUGAUUUUACCACGACAAACGAAAACUUUGUCACUAAACAUUAAGAAAAGGAAAUGCACACAAAUGAAAGUA